GAACGUCGCAAAAGGGCAACACAUGACAUCGGGAGGCUGCGACUGUCAUAAAUAUGAGUCAGCUACUGAGCGUCUGAAUUUUGAUCACAUGGGAACCGUGGGGAUGCUGCAAUGGUUAUGGCCAUCCAUCAAGAUAUUCUGCUAUUACCAUUUUAGAGAUAAGAGUGGAAAAGGCAAUCCAGAAAGGAGAGACUCUGAAAUCUAAUCCAAUUUUAAUUACCCAGAAGGUUCCAAACAAACAGAACAAAUAGUAAAGAUGCCAGAAAAUGUUGACUGUGGUCUUCAUAUUUGCUUGAAAAUCAAGGUCAUUUGAGAUAACAGGACAGACAAGGAACAUCUUAGAGGGGCAGCCAAAAGCAACUUCAGUAGUUAUUCUUGUGGUAAGUGCAUAUAUAUAUAUUUUUCAGUAGCAAAUCCAAUUAUGGUAACUAUUUUGUGAAUGGAGGAGACACUUGUAUGGCAGAUGCUUUGGAGGAUAUUUUGCAAAGACUUUUAGAAUUCCAAAUGGAUUUUCUGGUCUAAUAUGGCUGACAUUAGAAGAGAAAAGUGGCAGGUGGAACUCUGUUUCCAUGCUGAAUUUUGACCUGAUU